rnacentral:rRNA from 1 species
UGUAACUGAUUCUUAAUAAUCUUGAUUAGUAAUAGUUAUGUUCUUGAAAAUUAAAAAAUUUGGCGGUAUUUUAUUUAAUUCAGAGGAACCUGUCUUGUAAUUGAUAUUCCACGAUAAAAUUAACUUAUUUUUUUAGUUUGUAUAUCGUUGUUUAGAAUUUCUUUUUUGGGAAAAUUUUCAAUUGUUUAAAAUUAAAUAUAUUUCAGAUCAAGGUGCAGCCUAUAAAUAAGAAUUGAUGGGUUACUUUAAAAUUAUAUUUGGUUAUUUAUUUUAAAUUUUUAAAUAUAAAUUGGAUUUGACUGUAAUUAAAAGGAUUUACUUUUAAUGAUUACUAUUCUAAAAUAUGC